AUUAGUUAAAAUUUAAGCAGAACAUUCAGAAUCAGGUCAGCUCGUGGGUGUGGACCUGAACACAGGUGAGCCCGUGGUAGCAGCAGAAGCAGGCAUUAUGGGAUAACGAUUGUGUAAAGAAACAGCUUCUUCAUUCCUGCACUGGUUGCCACCAACAUUCUCUUGGUUGAUGAGAUCAUGCGAGCUGGAAUCUUCUCUGAAAGGUUGAAUUGAAGCUUCCUCUGUAUCUGAGUCUUGAAGACU
rnacentral:lncRNA from 1 species